rnacentral:rRNA from 1 species
UACAGAGGUCUCAAGCGUUGUUCGGAUUUAUUGGGCGUAAAGGGUGCGUAGGUGGCAAAGUAAGUUGGAUGUGAAAUCCUGGGGCUCAACCUCAGAAUUGCAUUCAAUACUGCUUAGCUAGAGAGCUGUAGAGGAGACUGGAAUUUACGGUGUAAGCAGUGAAAUGCGUAGAUAAUCGUAAGGAACGCCAGUGGCGAAAGCGAGUCUCUGGGCAGCAUCUGACACUGAGGCACGAAGGCCAGGGGAGCAAACGGG